ACUAUCACAAUGGAACAAAAUAAUGACCCGAUCUGCUCCUAAAAUAUCAAUUUCACCCGUUGCACCAUAAUCUAUGAAAGCAUCAGACGAAAAUGGAACCCCAAGGCCUCCCUCUUUCCAUUGCUCCACUUCUCAUCCGAAUCUUUCCCCCAAUUCAAAGCUCAUCUAGAAAAUCUCAUCCCUUAAUUUUCCCCUCCCCAUCCCUUUUGUAUAAUUCUCUCUAUCGUUUCCUAUCUUUCUCGUCUCUCGCCUCUGCUUUUUUCCUCCUCCAAUUUAUUCAUGUCAGUAUACAUCACCUCUUCACCAAUCCUUAUUGGGAAAUUAAAUAAAGAGAAGAGGGUAUGGCUAAUUUAACAUGAGUUAUAUUUUGAGGAAGGAACAAAAGAGAUGAGAGGAGAUAAGAGAUAAAUGGGUUGUUAGAGAAUUUUUUCUGCUGGUUUGAAGAUAGUAAUGCACGGAUGGUUCUUACUUUAAAAGUUAGAAGAGAGUGAACGAUAAAGGUGAAGAAUGGGUAAGGUUUGCAGUCGCCGAAAAUAUUUUUUCGGCAAUAUCUAAAUACCUUUUUUGAUCAUUUUUUCGAUUAACUCUUUCACUGCCUUAUAAAAGUUAUAUAGGAUUACUUUAUGAUUUUAAAAUUUAGUCAUUGUAGGAAUAAAAAGGCAUUAAAAUAAUCUCAAUUACUGGAGCUUUGUGAUUUUGAUGGAUGAAAUUGGUGGCCAUAGUUGUGGUUUGGUUCUUGGACGGUUUAGUGAGGGGAGGGGGCAUACUAGAGGAUGUGAGCUCAAUGAAGAAAUAUAACUCAAGAAGGAGAUGUUCCAGCUCAACUAGUCAAAGAGGAGCAGUGCAAAGGAUUGUGCGGUAUGCAAACUUAUUCUGCAGUCAUAGAUGAAGAUACAGCCCGCAGAAAUACAAGUGCGGCCACAAAUUUACCCUUGAAGCUUCAGAAGAGUUUAGCAACAGCGCGGUCCACAUACUAAAUUGUGCGUGCGCAGAAGCUGUUUGCACUGACAAGCUUGGAAAGAUCAUAGACGUUGCAAAGGACCAAAUUCAAAGCCUCCUUAAAGUGCAUUCACAGUCAAAUUGUGUGGCCACAGAAGCUAAAGUGCGGCCGUAGAAGUUAUUAUGUGGACGCAGAAUCCAUCCUACUGUAAGAGCAACAGAAGAAAGUGCGGUCCGCAGCCAAAUUGUGCGGCCGCAGAAACUCCCGAAGGGUAUUUUUGUCAGCAAAUUUCAGAGCACUAUAAAUAGAUGACAUACUUUUUAGGGUAAUUUUUAAACUAUAGCAGAUGGUAGCAGUUAGAGUUAGCUAUUUUGGGAAAUCGGUGACUAUAAUAAGAGAAGAUCCAUUACUUUUACCUUUUAA